GACUACCAAAAAGGAAAGAUCAGUUGAAAAAUAGAGAAGAUAUAUGUAACCAGUAUGAACAAACAGGUUACGUAAGCAAGACAGAAAAUUCGGGGUACUUGUACAUAGACUCCGUUCAAACUAAUUCAGAGGAUAAAGACGUUAAUAUGGAAAACAUGCUGGUGCCUUUCACAAAGAACAAAGCAGGAAAGAAGAUUGAGCUUAAGCAAAAGAAGAUGUUGGUUACUAAGACAACUGUUACCACGGUGAUGAGAGUUGAGGACCUCCCCGCCGAUUUUUGUCCGGAAUCUGGGGGUAUACCGGUGGAUUACUCAAAAUCCACGUAUUUAGUGCCCGUGAAGAGUGACUCGAAGUUGUUCUAGAGAUGAACCAAGAAAUAUCUAAAGCUCAACAUUCAGAAGUGUUAUACAUGUAUAUGAAGAAGAUUCCUCCAAUGAACUUUUUUUAAUAGUUGGUUUUUUACAUUGGAUCAUAUGAUGAUUUAUUUAUACAACGUAGUGUAUAGUAAAUUUUUCAUAUAUUCUGAAUUUCACUAUACUGAAAGUAUAUGUUUGCCAUUCGUAUUGUUGAUAAUACGUUUAUAAUACUGAAUUCCACAUCACAUUAAAAUAUUUUCCUUCAAUGGAUAUGAUUAUUGAAUGAAAAGGGUGAAACAAUGAUCAAACUUUAAAAUUCUAUAAACAAUACAAAUACUAGU